CUCAAAGCGUCCCCUGCUUUACUGUCUAUUUUAAAAUAAAUGGGAGAAUGAUUUACUAAAUAAACAUUGUGCUGCAAUGAAGAAGACUUGAAAGUAGCGAGUGAGGCCAUGAACUCAUUAUGAAAAUGUUUACUGAGGUAAUAAAUCAAGCGAGAAGUAGGCUCAUUUUCUCAUACACUUCUAUAAAAACAGACUGCAAUGUCAACUUCACU